CCUACGGGAGGCAGCAGUAGGGAAUCUUUCACAAUGGGCGAAAGCCUGAUGGAGCAACGCCGCGUGCAGGAUGAAGGCCUUUGGGUUGUAAACUUCUUUUAUAAGCGCGAAAUAUUAUGGUAACUUAUGACUAAGGAUCGGCUAACUCCGUGCCAGCAGCCGCGGUCAUACGUAGGAUGCGAGCAUUAUCCGGGGUGACUGGGUGUAAAGAGUUGCGUAGGUGGCAUAAUAAGUAGCUAGUGAAAUCUGGUGGCUCAACCAUUCAGACGAUUAGCUAAACUGUUAAGCUCGAGAACGUUAGGGGUAACUGGAAUUUCUAGUGUAGGAGUGAAAUCCGUAGAUAUUAGAAGGAACACCAAUAGCGUAGGCAGGUUACUGGGACGGUUCUGACACUAAGGCACGAAAGCGUAGGGAGCAAACGGGAUUAGAUACCCCUGUAGUC
rnacentral:rRNA from 1 species